rnacentral:rRNA from 1 species
UACGUAGGGUGCAAGCGUUGUCCGGAAUUAUUUGGGCGUAAAGAGCUCGUAGGCGGUUUGUCGCGUCUGCUGUGAAAACCCGAGGCUCAACCUCGGGCCUGCAGUGGGUACGGGCAAACUAGAGUGCGGUAGGGGAGAAUGGAAUUCCUGGUGUAGCGGUGGAAUGCGCAGAUAUCAGGAGGAACACCGAUGGCGAAGGCAGUUCUCUGGGCCGUAACUGACGCUGAGGAGCGAAAGCGUGGGGGAGCGAACAGG